CUGGGUCCUAUGCAACGGACGACAGGUGAACUCCGCCAGGACCGGAAGGUAGCAACGGCAGCCAUGCUCUUCGUGUGCUUUAGGGUGCCUGGC
rnacentral:SRP_RNA from 1 species